GAAGAAUUACAGUUUAAGAUGAUCAAGAAAACUUAGUACGUGCUGCCACGGUCGCUGUCAGAUUUGCACAUGCGCUGUAUGAGAGGGGCACGGCGAGGCGUGUUGAAUACUGCGCGGUGAUAGGACGAAGGACGUUACAGGUGGCAAACGAGCAUGUACAGAUACAGCAGAUACUUGAUGGAGGGUAGCCACCGUCGCCUAUGGGCAAUUGCAACAUAAGGGAUGUUGCGGAUCCGUUGCCAGCCUUGAAUAUGGAAGAGGGAGAGGAAAGGGUGGGAAACUGGAACGGCAAUGGAGACAUAAUUACAAUGAAUUUUUAAACUAUUAAUUAAAUUUAAUUUUGUAUUAAUAUAUUCAAAGUACAAGAUAACAUUCGUUACUAUAGCUCUUUACAAAAUUAUGCGUUGAUAGAAAAAAAAAAAUAAGUUAGAUCAAACGACAUGUUACUAUUCUUUUUAAUUCCGUUUUUCUGUAUGUUUAUUAAAAAAAAAAUAUUCGAUUUUUAAAAUAAAUAUUUUGACUAUAGAAUCAUCUACUACUUACCUACAUAUUAAGUGAACGUUUUAAAUUUUAGAACUUUUUUCUAUUAACGUAAUGUCAUCCAGCUCUAUGAAUAUUUAAUAUAAUUUGAUUCCAUCGUAUCAAAAAGCUAAAAUAGAAAUGGUUGGAUUUUUCAGUAAAGAGCAGAGGAGUCUGCUUUUCAAAUACAGCUAGGUACAUAAGCGUUAGAGGAUUAAGGUUAAGGAGAAGUUAGAACGGCGAAUCUAUUGAUUGAGCUUUAAUUAUUACGUAUUUUUUAUAGGAAUAACGUAAAAGUAGUUAAAAGUAAAAAAUUAUUCAUAAAUUUUAAUGUAAAAGUUGGAAGUACAAAGUUUUUAUGGUAACAAGGAUAGAUUAAGCAUAUUUUUUUUACUAAAGUAAUGUUUGUUGCAUGAUAUGUUAAGUGGAAGUGCAUCCAGCGAGAAACUCAACUGAAAUUAAGUAGGUGUAUUAAGUUUCGUGAGAUUUCGUCAAAAUAAACGUACUAAUAUCGCUGUACUUUUCAUCUUUACAAAUUACAUACUUUACAUAUUGAAAUUAACAAAAUGCAUGAGAUGGUCGUUUUGCGGACGUAAAUUUGAAAACGAUAUUUAUAUGAACGGGCAAUUCACAGGUCGAAAUGCCUUAAACGAGGUGAUUCAGAUACUGUAAUGAGGAAUUAUCCCCAUUACAGUAUUAAAUUAUUAAUACUUAAGCUAAAUCUAAAAGGAGUUAUUGUGAUUUAUUACACUUGUGCAUGUAUUACGAAGGUUUGAUAUCAUGUUGUAUGGCCCAGUCAUCUCUACCUUUGCUUGAUGAUCUUAUUCAUAAACUGAAAUAAAUAUUGCUCAAGAAAUGAAAAUGCUUAAGAAAAUUUCUGUUCAUUGGCAAUUCUUUGGAUAUAAUUCAGUUAUAAAACUCAUAUAAAAUUUGCUGCCUUAAUUUUCAGUGACAUAUGUACAUAUGGUGACCAGUCUUUUAUUUAUAUAUCUUUAGCCUUGUAUUUUCAUCAAGAGACAAUCUUGUAUUAUUUUAAUAAAGGUUCAGGUGAGUCUGCACGACGCAAAUCAGACCAAGGUUCAGCAUAAAUACGAUUUAAUGUUAAAUAUCUAAAUAUGAAUGAAACAUCGCAAUAAUAUUUUGAAAAUGUUUUUUUUAUUAACACUUACAUUUUUACAGCAUUCCUAGCCAACAGAGUAAUACUAUAAAAUGAAACUGUGUAAAGAACUGUCGAACGCAACACAAAGUUAGUUCUACAGUGUACGUUAAACGAAUAGCUUACAAAGAUCAUACAAAUAAUUCAAACAUAGACUAUUGUCUGCGGAACGUACGUCGCUCACAGAGAACGAGCACUGAAGGUCACUCUAAACAAACAAACAUCAUUUAAAUCUAUAAACAUUUCAUAUAAUUUAGAUUUAUAGUCGCUAUAAUGUAAUAUAAUUAUUACUUUUGUAACCAUUAUUAUAUGUUAUAUGUUAUUUCGUUACGAAAAUUGAAAUUCAUCGAUCGCUCGGUCCCUCCGACCGGCGCCCACGGUCUGCUCGCGGACUGCUCACGGACUGCCCACGGACCGUCCGUCGUCCACUGCCGGCCCGCUCCGGCCCGGCCCGGUCGACGGAGGGACGGAACGCCGAUCAAAACAAGAUGACUCUAUCAUAACUGUAUAAUUUUAAAAAUUUCUAAUUACGCAUUUCUACGUUUUGUUUAUUAUCUUUUAAUUAAGAAAUAAAAUCUUACAUUACAAUGAGCGGACUAUUUUAAUGAAUUUCACGAAAAUCACUAAUAUCAGUUAAUUUUAGAAAAAGAAAAGCAUAGUGUCCGGCCCCGGCUCGGGCGGCGGCGGCGAGGCGCGGAUGACGUCACGUCCGCCGACGCACCGGCCCGCUAAGCGUUCGCGACUGUGUAUGCUUCGUUUGACUACUUUACGAUUGAAAAUAUGGCUCAAAAUUUCAACUACCUACCUAACAGUAAGCAGUAAUACACUAAAACUCAGGCACUCCACAUCGAGCUCUCACACACCACGCACCACUUCGUAUCGUCAACUAAACA